rnacentral:lncRNA from 1 species
UUCUUGUCCAAAAAAUCUCCGUACAAUUUCGUGGCAUUUGGACCUCAUUUGAUAUGGAUUUUCCGCGAAGGGAAAAAACAGCAAAAACAGCAAUUGACACUAGGCACUAUGUCAAUAGGUUAGUCCCAAAAAAUGAUAUAAAGUUGCUAUAAAAUGAUCAUAAAACAUCCAAGAAUGAUAAUAUAAUAGCAUGGAACAAUCAAAAAUUAUAGAUACGUUGGGGACGUAUCACUAGGCCACCGUGCGAUGAGAUGCUUCAAGUGCAUGCAAUACUUGGACACGGCCUCUUGGAUGGUCUACCAUCGAUGGUUGAGGGACUUUCAUUCAUGGAUGCGGAUGACUGCGUCGGAGUAUUGUGCGAAAUACUUGUGUUCAUGGAACCAUAUAUGAAUGUUGUUCCAAAAGGUUGUGCCCUUUUACUCUCUUCCAUGGAGAGGAUCGAGGUUAGUGGCCAAUCAUGCAUCACACAACAACUCGUCCUCCUACGUGUUGAAGUUUUCUCCUAUGCCCUUCUUCUUCGGAUCGCUGCCUGUAUCAGUCGGAUCAUCGUCAUCGCCGUCCUCCCCUCCUC